GUACCUUCUUGAAGCGUCUCGCUUUGAUCAUGUGUAGUAUCUGUUCUAGAAAGCUUAAUCUCUUUCUGCCAUCACACGUUGAUGUGCAUAUUCGAUUAAACUUAUUUUUCUUCGAGGUGAGGUCAUAUGUUUGGUGCUUGCAUCAUUCGACCUCUACGCAUUCGCUCUGUAUUGCACAACUUCAGAGAUUUACGAGAGUGCGCCUCAC
rfam:Dictyostelium discoideum AX4 chromosome 1, whole genome shotgun sequence.